rnacentral:pre_miRNA from 1 species
AGUUAGAAAUCUCGUGAUGGCAUUACAAGAUGUUCUUGCCAUCCGACAUUUUUGGUUGA